rnacentral:rRNA from 1 species
CGGCCGCGUCGACAUCCUGGCUCAGGAUGAACGCUAGCUACAGGCUUAACACAUGCAAGUCGAGGGGCAGCGGGAUUGAAGCUUGCUUCAAUUGCCGGCGACCGGCGCACGGGUGAGUAACACGUAUCCAACCUUCCGUUUACUCGGGGAUAGCCUUUACGAAAGAAAGAUUAAUACCCGAUAGUAUGGUGAGAUUGCAUGAUAACACCAUUAAAGAUUCAUUGGUAAACGAUGGGGAUGCGUUCCAUUAGGUAGUAGGCGGGUAACGCCACCUAGCUACGAUGGAUAGGGUUCUGAGACGGAAGUCCCCACAUUGGAACUGAGACAACGGUCCAAACGUCCUACGGAGGCAGCAGUGAGGAAUAUUAGGUCAAUGGGCGAGAGCCUGAACCAGCCAAGUAGCGGUAGAAGGAUGAACGGUCCUACGGAUUGUAAACUCGUUUAUACGGAAUAAGUAUCCUAGUGUUAGGAUUUUGUAUGUACCGUAUGAAUAGCAUCGGCUAACUCGUGCCAGCGAGCCGGGUCGACGCGGCCGUAGUCGUGGAACGG